rnacentral:rRNA from 1 species
GAACGCUGGCGGCGUGCCUAAUACAUGCAAGUAGAACGCUGAAGAGAGGAGCUUGCUCUUCUUGGAUGAGUUGCGAACGGGUGAGUAACGCGUAGGUAACCUGCCUCGUAGCGGGGGAUAACUAUUGGAAACGAUAGCUAAUACCGCAUAACAAUGGGUGACACAUGUCAUUUAUUUGAAAGGGGCAAUUGCUCCACUACAAGAUGGACCUGCGUUGUAUUAGCUAGUAGGUGAGGUAACGGCUCACCUAGGCGACGAUACAUAGCCGACCUGAGAGGGUGAUCGGCCACACUGGGACUGAGACACGGCCCAGACUCCUACGGGAGGCAGCAGUAGGGAAUCUUCGGCAAUGGGGGCAACCCUGACCGAGCAACGCCGCGUGAGUGAAGAAGGUUUUCGGAUCGUAAAGCUCUGUUGUAAGUCAAGAACGAGUGUGAGAGUGGAAAGUUCACACUGUGACGGUAGCUUACCAGAAAGGGACGGCUAACUACGUGCCAGCAGCCGCGGUAAUACGUAGGUCCCGAGCGUUGUCCGGAUUUAUUGGGCGUAAAGCGAGCGCAGGCGGUUUGAUAAGUCUGAAGUUAAAGGCUGUGGCUCAACCAUAGUUCGCUUUGGAAACUGUCAAACUUGAGUGCAGAAGGGGAGAGUGGAAUUCCAUGUGUAGCGGUGAAAUGCGUAGAUAUAUGGAGGAACACCGGUGGCGAAAGCGGCUCUCUGGUCUGUAACUGACGCUGAGGCUCGAAAGCGUGGGGAGCGAACAGGAUUAGAUACCCUGGUAGUCCACGCCGUAAACGAUGAGUGCUAGGUGUUGGAUCCUUUCCGGGAUUCAGUGCCGCAGCUAACGCAUUAAGCACUCCGCC